UACGUAGGGUGCAAGCGUUAAUCGGAAUUACUGGGCGUAAAGCGUGCGCAGGCGGUUAUGUAAGACAGAUGUGAAAUGCCCGGGCUUAACCUGGGAACUGCAUUUGUGACUGCAUGGCUGGAGUGCGGCAGAGGGGGAUGGAAUUCCGCGUGUAGCAGUGAAAUGCGUAGAUAUGCGGAGGAACACCGAUGGCGAAGGCAAUCCCCUGGGCCUGCACUGACGCUCAUGCACGAAAGCGUGGGGAGCAAACAGG
rnacentral:rRNA from 1 species